GGGGAAUAUUGCACAAUGGGGGAAACCUUGAUGCAGCAACGCCGCGUGAGUGAUGAAGGUCUUCGGAUUGUAAAGCUCUGUCUUUAGGGACGAUAAUGACGGUACCUAAGGAGGAAGCCACGGCUAACUACGUGCCAGCAGCCGCGGUAAUACGUAGGUGGCAAGCGUUAUCCGGAUUUACUGGGCGUAAAGGGAGCGUAGGCGGAUAUUUAAGUGGGAUGUGAAAUACCCGAGCUUAACUUGGGAGCUGCAUUCCAAACUGGAUAUCUAGAGUGCAGGAGAGGAGAAUGGAAUUCCUAGUGUAGCGGUGAAAUGCGUAGAGAUUAGGAAGAACACCAGUGGCGAAGGCGAUUCUCUGGACUGUAACUGACGCUGAGGCUCGAAAGCGUGGGGAGCAAAC
rnacentral:rRNA from 1 species